rnacentral:rRNA from 1 species
CCCUUAGAUGUUCUGGGCUGCACACGUGCUACACUGGCAGGUUCAGCGAGCUUCAUGCCCUGAUCUGAAAGGAAUGGGAAAUCUUUUCAAAACCUGCCGUGCUUGGGAUGGAUGUUUGCAAUUAUUCAUCUUCAACGAGGAUUGCCUUGUAAGCGCACGUCAUCAGCGUGCAUUGAAUACGACCCUGUAUUCUGUACACACCGCCCGUCGCUCCUACCGAUUGAAGUUUUCGGUGAGUUGACAGGAGGAUUUUUUUGAAACUGGUUCGCCAGUGGAUUUUAGAUCCAAAUGCCAACGAAUCGAUGGCUUUAGAGGAAGGAGAAGUCGUAACA